rnacentral:rRNA from 1 species
UACAGAGGGGGCAAGCGUUGUUCGGAAUUACUGGGCGUAAAGGGCGCGUAGGCGGCCUUCUAAGUCGAACGUGAAAUCCCCGGGCUCAACCCGGGAACUGCGUCCGAUACUGGAAGGCUUGAAUCCGGGAGAGGGAUGCGGAAUUCCAGGUGUAGCGGUGAAAUGCGUAGAUAUCUGGAGGAACACCGGUGGCGAAGGCGGCAUCCUGGACCGGCAUUGACGCUGAGGAGCGAAAGCGUGGGGAGCAAACAGG